rnacentral:rRNA from 1 species
CAAGAAUAUGGAAGUCUUCUGGAUCGUCGGUCUCGAGGCGUCACAAGGUGUUCUUGGAUGCUCCGGCGAAAUUGCUCCUACAACCGUUGAUGAUCUUGAGUGGCUGAAACAGAAGAGCAACGGGUUUGAUGUUGGUGCAAGCCGGAACAACCUCAGGAUUUCAGAGGACAAAAACUGUUUCCAUUCCCUUGUCAAGAAGAGAGACACCAACGACAAAGUCACGAUGAAUAGCCGUGAGUCCACCCUCGCGAUCUGCUGGUCGCCCCAGGCUGCUCUGGCACCGCCGCUCAAGUUCAGCCUGGGAGAUGCCUUCCUGUUCAUUAAAAAAAAAUUAGACAUGCGGGAGGAGAAUUGGUGCAACCGUCGGAUGGAAAAUGGGGCAACGGGAGCACGGAUGGGAGCACAUUGAGGGGAGCAGGCAAGCCCCAUCCAUUGGAGAUGCUCGGAUUGCGGCGACCGCGGAACGGCACGCACUACGUUUCCCACCUGCGCGGCGCAACCUCCGGCGGAUCCGGCCCUUCCCCUUCUCUCCGACCCACCCCCGCUGCAAAACCGUCGGUGGCGUCGUCCUUCCACCGCGCCGCCACUCCACUACCCCUCCGCCGCCGCCCUCGUCCUCCUUUCCGUCACACACCACAAGCGUUCAAAGAGCGGGGAGCGAGCGAGCGAGUGCCCGCACACGCGUCACUUCUCCGAUCUGGUCCGGCUGUUCCGCCAUAGAGCAAGCCCGGGAUCCCGCCUUUGUUCUAGCUGCCGCUGCGUGCUGCCAAUUCCGAAGGUCAACUCACAGGACUGAAGAGGCGGCUCCUUCCUUCUCGGUUCUCGAUUCAUCAGGCUCCCGACACGCGCCCGUGCCACAAUGUCAGAGGACAAGGGCCGCAGUCGCAGCGGUGCACGGGUGAAAGUCCGGGAGGCGGUCUGCAACGCCGUCGCCGGCGGUUCGGCUGGGGCCAUCUCGGCGACGGUGCUGUGCCCGCUGGACGUGCUCAAGACGCGUCUGCAGGUGUACGGUCUCCCUUCAAACCUUUCCCCUGGCACUGCGCCGCCUGGUAGGAUAAUUCUUUCAGGAUUGCAACACAUACUCAAAACUGAAGGCCUUCCUGGGUUGUAUCGUGGCCUUUCUCCAACAAUAGUAGCACUAUAUCCAACUUGGGCUGUUACAUUUUCAGUUUAUAAUUACGUGAGGGGUCUUCUUCGAUCUCAAGAUGAUAAAAAUGGCGAAUUGUCCAUACAGGAAAAUAUUUUAGCUGCUUCCUCUGCAGGGAUUGCAACAGCUGUUGCAACUAAUCCAUUAUGGGUUGUGAAGACUAGACUACAAACACAAGGGAUGAGACCUGGCGUGGUGCCUUACACGAGCAUCUUAUCUGCGUUACGUAGGAUUGCAGCAGAAGAAGGUCUCCGUGGAUUGUACAGUGGUCUUCUUCCUUCUUUAGCUGGGGUUACUCAUGUAGCCAUCCAGUUCCCAGUAUACGAGAAGGCGAAGCUGUACAUUGCCAAAAGAGACAAUACUACAGUUGACAAGCUUGGCCCUGGUCAAGUAGCAAUUUGUUCUUCAGGAUCCAAAAUAGCAGCCUCGCUGAUAACAUACCCUCAUGAGGUUGUACGAUCUAAGUUGCAAGAACAAGGCCGUGUUCCCCAUGGUGCUAUACGGUAUAUAGGUGUAACGGACUGUAUAAAGCAAGUGUUACAGAAGGAGGGGAUUGCUGGAUUCUACCGAGGUUGUGCUACAAAUUUGUUGCGAACAACACCAAACGCUGUCAUUACUUUUACUAGUUAUGAGAUGAUCAAUCGACUCAUGCACCAGCUCCUGUCCUCCUAAUUGAAAGAUGGAAACCAACAAAUCCUCAACGUGCUUGCAAUGCUGAAUCGUAACUUCUGGCUGUAAUGGUUAGUUAUCGUGGUCGCAUUGCCAUUUGUCCAUUAUUGAAGAAAAGAUAACUGUUGACGACAGAUUUUGGUAUAAGAAGUAGACAGAUCCAGUGGUUUGUGUUUUGCCGUGAGGGAGAAACCCUAUUGUUUUAAAUUCAUUCUGCAUAGUUGUUAGGAGCAAAUCGCUGUCUACAGAAAGUUGGCAUGCUAUACUUUUUUUGCGCAUCAAGAACGUUGGCAUGCUAAUUGUCCAUUCACGUUGAUUUAAGCUUUUAGAAGAAUACUUGGCCAGC